UACGUAGGUGGCAAGCGUUGUCCGGAUUUACUGGGCGUAAAGAGCGCGCAGGCGGUUAUUCAAGUCGAAUGUGAAAGCCCCCGGCUUAACUGGGGAGGGUCAUUCGAUACUGCUUAACUUGAAGGCAGGAGAGGGUAGUGGAAUUCCCGGUGUAGUGGUGAAAUGCGUAGAUAUCGGGAGGAACACCAGUGGCGAAGGCGACUACCUGGCCUGUUCUUGACGCUGAGGCGCGAAAGCUGGGGGAGCAAACGGG
rnacentral:rRNA from 2 species